GGUCUGGUGGUAUAAUUGGAAUAAUUCUCGCUUUUAGUGCGAGAGAGAGGUCCCGGGUUCAAUCCCCGGCCAGACCC
rnacentral:tRNA from 1 species